AGAGGGUUUCCUUCGGGGACAAUGGAUACAGGUGGUGCAUGGUUGUCGUCAGCUCGUGUCGUGAGAUGUUGGGUUAAGUCCCGCAACGAGCGCAACCCCUGUCGUUAGUUGCCAGCAGUGAGAUGGGGACUCUAACGAGACUGCCAGUGACAAACUGGAGGAAGGUGGGGAUGACGUCAAAUCAUCAUGCCCCUUAUGACCUGGGCUACACACGUGCUACAAUGGUUGGUACAAAGAGAAGCGAAGCGGUGACGUGGAGCAAACCUCAUAAAGCCAAUCUCAGUUCGGAUUGUAGGCUGCAACUCGCCUACAUGAAGUUGGAAUCGCUAGUAAUCGCGAAUCAGAAUGUCGCGGUGAAUACGUUCCCGGGUCUUGUACACACCGAAAAA
rnacentral:rRNA from 1 species